CACCUGGUGGAAGAGGGGUCCGAGAAGGACUGCUUGAUGUGGCUUUCUGAUUCCGAUUCUGAGCCUGAGGGAAGAACCACCAUCCUUCAUUCAUUCAUUCAGCAAAUAUUUGAGCACUUACCACGCGUCGGGCACUGAUUUACAGCACAGAGUGAAACUAAGUCCCUGCCCUUGCCUUGCUGAGCUUGUAUUCCAUCUUGGAAGGAGGAACAGACGAUAAUUAGCAAAAGUACAAUGACUGGCCCCAGACCCCGCUACUCCUCCUCUUAACCUACAUGAUCAGGGCGAGGCAGAGGAAAAGAAGAGCCGUGAUGCCAAUUCCCAGAAACGCUCCGUUGGAGAAUGCCGUUGAGAUGAGUCCCUUCUUAUCUGCACAUGGAGAGGGUCAGGAAACCCUGCCACACCCCGGCCCAGGUGUUAGGACUUCCCAUUGUGUUUUCCUGUCGACAUACAGAUGCCACGGGUCUCUUGUGUCCCUCCGAGCUCCUGCUUCAACCACAGGACCCUACUCUUUGCCCCACUCAGCUUCUCCUCCAAGACCCUCGGCAUUCAGGAGGCCCCCUA